CAUGACCUGCUCCGCUGGCUCGCGGACCGACAGCCGACUCCUCCUGCUCUGCUUCAAUCUGUAUUCAGCAUUUCAGCCGGAGACAUGAUAGGAAAAUUCAGAGGUCUGUGGCGAGGAUAACCUCAAUUAAACCCAGCCGGAUACCCGCACAGAGAUUACACGGAGGUGGGAGUGUAGCUGUCGAUGCUGGACUCCCUGAUCACCCGGUAUUAGGAUCUGAGAGGCUGGGAGACACCGACCCGACAUGAUGGCCUCCAGCGACGUGGACACCAGAGAAGGUAAUGAAGGUUCUUUGUUCUCGGACCAAAAUCCCUCAGAAAUGGACGCUCUGUGUCCCUCUCCUCCUGGACCUACCCGAACC